CUCCGGUUGAUCCUGCCGGACCCGACUGCUAUCAGAGUGAGAUUAAGCCAUGCGAGUUAACGUAGCAAUACGUGGCGCACGGCUCAGUAACACGUAGUCAACAUGCCCAGAGGACGUGGAUAACCUCGGGAAACUGAGUCUAAACCGCGAUAAGUGAGGAUUUCUGGAAUGGUUCCUGACUAAAAUCUAUAUGGCCUCUGGAUUGGACUGCGGCCGAUCAGGCUGUUGGUGAGGUAAUGGCCCACCAAACCUGUAACCGGUACGGGCUCUGAGAGGAGGAGCCCGGAGAUGGGCACUGAGACAAGGGCCCAGGCCCUAUGGGGCGCAGCAGGCGCGAAACCUCUGCAAUAGGCGAAAGCCUGACAGGGUUACUCUGAGUGACUUUCGCUAAGAAAGUCUUUUGGCACCUCUAAAAAGGGUGCAGAAUAAGGGGUGGGCAAGUCUGGUGUCAGCCGCCGCGGUAAUACCAGCACCCCGAGUGGUCGGGACGAUUAUUGGGCCUAAAGCAUCCGUAGCCGGUUCUGCAAGUCCCCCGUUAAAUCCAGCUGCUCAACAGAUGGGCCGCGGAGGAUACUACAGAGCUAGGAGGCAGGAGAGGCAAGCGGUACUCAGUGGGUAGGGGUAAAAUCCGUUGAUCCAUUGAAGACCACCAGUGGCGAAGGCGGCUUGCCAGAAUGCGUUCGACGGUGAGGGAUGAAAGCUGGGGGAGCAAACCGGAUUAGAUACCCGGGUAGUCCCAGCCGUAAACGAUGCAGACUCGGUGAUGGGUUGGCUUCGCGCUAACCCAGUGCCGCAGGGAAGCCGUUAAGUCUGCCGCCUGGGUAGUACGGUCGCAAGACUGAAACUUAAAGGAAUUGGCGGGGGAGCA
rnacentral:rRNA from 1 species